AACGAACGCUGGCGGCAUGCCUAACACAUGCAAGUCGAACGAGACCUUCGGGUCUAGUGGCGCACGGGUGCGUAACGCGUGGGAACCUGCCCUUAGGUUCGGAAUAACUCCCCGAAAGGGGUGCUAAUACCGGAUAAUGUCUUCGGACCAAAGAUUUAUCGCCUUUGGAUGGGCCCGCGUUGGAUUAGCUAGUUGGUAGGGUAAAAGCCUACCAAGGCGCCGAUCCAUAGCUGGGCUGAGAGGAUGAUCAGCCACACUGGGACUGAGACACGGCCCAGACUCCUACGGGAGGCAGGAGUGGGGAAUAUUGGAAAAUGGGCGAAAGCCUGAUCCAGCAAGGCCGCGUGAGUGAUGAAGGCCUUAGGGUUGUAAAGCUCUUUUAACCGGGAUGAUAAUGACAGUACCGGGAGAAUAAGCGCCGGCUAACUCCGUG
rnacentral:rRNA from 1 species